GACGAACGCUGGCGGCGUGCUUAACACAUGCAAGUCGAACGGAAAGGCCCUGCUUUUGUGGGGUGCUCGAGUGGCGAACGGGUGAGUAACACGUGAGUAACCUGCCCUUGACUUUGGGAUAACUUCAGGAAACUGGGGCUAAUACCGGAUAGGAGCUCCUGCUGCAUGGUGGGGGUUGGAAAGUUUCGGCGGUUGGGGAUGGACUCGCGGCUUAUCAGCUUGUUGGUGGGGUAGUGGCUUACCCAGGCUUUGACGGGUAGCCGGCCUGAGAGGGUGACCGGCCACAUUGGGACUGAGAUACGGAGCAGACUCCAACGGGAGGCAGCAGUGGGGAAUAUUGCACAAUGGGCGGAAGCCUGAUGCAGCAACGCCGCGUGCGGGAUGACGGCCUUCGGGUUGUAAACCGCUUUCGCCUGUGACGAAGCGUGAGUGACGGUAAUGGGUAAAGAAGCACCGGCUAACUACGUG
rnacentral:rRNA from 1 species